rnacentral:rRNA from 1 species
AUGCUACGCUUUUGGAGGACGCGGAGGAGCGCCGCCUUGUCGAACGCCCUGUCUAUCGUGGAGAUGAAUGUGCACAUGGACUGCGAGGGCUGCGAGAAGAGAAUAAGGAAGGCCAUGUCCCGGCUCGAAGGCGUGAGCACUGUCGAGAUCGACAUGGACACGCAGAAGGUGACGGUGACGGGGUACGUGGAGCGGCGGAGGGUGCUCCGGGCGGCCGAGUUCUGGCCGUCGCCGUACGACGCCGGGUACUACCCGUUCGCGAUACGGUACCUGGAGGACGACACAUACCUGCCCACGCACAGGUACCACCUCCACGGCUACAACGAUCCGGUGGUGGGCUACUACCCCGGCCACGCCUUCACGCACAUCCUCGACGACCGCGCGCUCGCGCUCUUCAACGACGACAACGUACACGCCUGCACCGUCAUGUGA